UUUUCUUAAAGUUUAACACAUACAAAAAUACCAAAGCAUGCAAUUGGUAAAUUAUUUUUACUAUAGAGGCAAAUAAAGAUUCUCAAAACAAGGGUUGCUAUAAACUAGCAAAUCCAUCUCACCUAUAAUCAACAACAAUACUCCUAGCUAGAAUAGAAGCCCCCUGCCAUUUGCAGAUCAAUGCCCCUCUUUUAGAUGAAAUAACAAACUGGAACCAGCUACUCAACCAAACUUCACACAUUUACACACCAUAAUUAGAACAAAUGAUAUCCAAUCGGUAGAUAAAUUUCAUAAAUGAGCUGAAACCAAUAACCAACAUCUCUGCAGGAAGAAAAAAUUAUAAGGCACUCUGAGUCCUCGUGAAAUUCUACAAGCACAUGGUUAAAUGAAGGAUAAUAGAACUACUUCCGCUGAACUUUGAACAACAGAUGUAGUUAUUAAAUGAAAAUUUCAAAAAAGCUGAUAUGGUACACACUCCUAACAAUAUGCAUCAACAUUAUAAUGAGAUGUCAAUUUUACGUUUGAUUAGGUUGGUUGAACUGCACUAAAACAUACAUAUAAACCUUACCAUUCGACAAACAUUGCAGAGUCCUCUCAAAUAAUUUAUCCAUAAUACCAACAAUAGAAAGCUUAGUAUGUAUAAUUUUCUGACUCCUCCCAAAGAUAAAUAAACUCAGCAAAUUCGGCAUCUUCAUAAGAGUAGGCAAGGCAUAAUAGUCAUAAGGAACAGUAUUAACAACCAAGCAGGUUUUAUCUUCCUUCAAACCUCGUGACUUUAGUUUUUUCCUGGAUUAUAAAACACUUCAAACUCUCCUUAGACGAUUAUUCAAACUAAAAGAACGGUGCUCUAGUUCUCCGGAUGCAGAAAUAUACAAAAUAGAAGCGAAUAAAAGAACAAAUCCAAUAAAUUAGACGAUUUCAUCUUCCUUGAGUGUCUACACUAUCGCUUUGAGUACCGAUCGUUAGCCAGCACCAAAAUUCUCAAUAUAUCAUAGUAAUAAAAUAAAAGAGGGCAACCAUUUCAAAUACAUUUAAUUAGAAAUUUAGUCGAGUGAAAAAAUAGAAUGAAACACUUACCCAAAAAUAUAGUAGCCUUGAUCAAAACAUAAAUUGAUCGGAGUGCUGAAAGUUAUAUGAAGCAAGUCCAAAGGAAAUUUCCUGUUGGCUGGUGCAAAGAUUGCGUCUUGCUGCUAUAACAAUUAAAUGCUCGAGAAUUUCACGAAAAUUGAUGCAAAGAUUGCGUCUUGCUACAAAACUGUCUUGGGGGUUGAGGAAAGGGGAGAAAUUGCUAGGGUUUCUGAGAGAAGAACCUAGACAUUGACUUUUAAAUCCUUUUAACUUUCAAU
rnacentral:lncRNA from 1 species